CCUGGCUCAGGCCGUACGCUGGCGGCGCGCCUAACACAUGCAAGUCGAACGAGAGAUGAGGAGCUUGCUCUUCAAAUCGAGUGGCGAACGGGUGAGUAACGCGUGAGGAACCUGCCUCAAAGAGGGGGACAACAGUUGGAAACGACUGCUAAUACCGCAUAAGCCCACAGCUCGGCAUCGAGCAGAGGGAAAAGGAGCAAUCCGCUUUGAGAUGGCCUCGCGUCCGAUUAGCUAGUUGGUGAGGUAACGGCCCACCAAGGCAACGAUCGGUAGCCGGACUGAGAGGUUGAACGGCCACAUUGGGACUGAGACACGGCCCAGACUCCUACGGGAGGCAGCAGUGGGGAAUAUUGCACAAUGGGGGAAACCCUGAUGCAGCGACGCCGCGUGGAGGAAGAAGGUCUUCGGAUUGUAAACUCCUGUUGUUGAGGAAGAUAAUGACGGUACUCAACAAGGAAGUGACGGCUAACUACGUGCCAGCAGCCGCGGUAAAACGUAGGUCACAAGCGUUGUCCGGAAUUACUGGGUGUAAAGGGAGCGCAGGCGGGAGAACAAGUUGGAAGUGAAAUCCAUGGGCUCAACCCAUGAACUGCUUUCAAAACUGUUUUUCUUGAGUAGUGCAGAGGUAGGCGGAAUUCCCGGUGUAGCGGUGGAAUGCGUAGAUAUCGGGAGGAACACCAGUGGCGAAGGCGGCCUACUGGGCACCAACUGACGCUGAGGCUCGAAAGUGUGGGUAGCAAACAGGAUUAGAUACCCUGGUAGUCCACACCGUAAACGAUGAUUACUAGGUGUUGGAGGAUUGACCCCUUCAGUGCCGCAGUUACACAAUAAGUAAUCCACCUGGGGAGUACGACCGCAAGGUUGAAACUCAAAGGAAUUGACGGGGGCCCGCACAAGCAGUGGAGUAUGUGGUUUAAUUCGACGCAACGCGAAGAACCUUACCAAGUCUUGACAUCCCUUGACGAACAUAGAAAUAUGUUUUCUCUUCGGAGCAAGGAGACAGGUGGUGCAUGGUUGUCGUCAGCUCGUGUCGUGAGAUGUUGGGUUAAGUCCCGCAACGAGCGCAACCCUUAUGGUCAGUUACUACGCAAGAGGACUCUGGCCAGACUGCCGUUGACAAAACGGAGGAAGGUGGGGAUGACGUCAAAUCAUCAUGCCCUUUAUGACUUGGGCUACACACGUACUACAAUGGCGUUAAACAAAGAGAAGCAAGACCGCGAGGUGGAGCAAAACUCAGAAACAACGUCCCAGUUCGGACUGCAGGCUGCAACUCGCCUGCACGAAGUCGGAAUUGCUAGUAAUCGUGGAUCAGCAUGCCACGGUGAAUACGUUCCCGGGCCUUGUACACACCG
rnacentral:rRNA from 1 species